rnacentral:lncRNA from 1 species
AACGUAUUGAGUCGAACUUAGGAAUGUUAAGGAAAAUGGUUUUGCCUUACACUGUUAUGACCUAUAUGAAUUAAUUUUUUCAAGUUGAAGACGUUUUUCUAAAAGGAUAUUAGUUACGGUUUUGCAACAUUAAAUUGUGGAAAACAGCCACUAUAAAUUAGUUACGUAACAGACCUACCAUAACCCGUAUUACAGAUUUAGGAAGGUGUUCAUCUAUGCAUCAUUGUUGGUUACGAAUUGUCAUAAAACAAUAUU